CCUACGGGCGGCAGCAGUGAGGAAUAUUGGUCAAUGGACGAGAGUCUGAACCAGCCAAGUAGCGUGAAGGAUGACUGCCCUAUGGGUUGUAAACUUCUUUUAUAUGGGAAUAAAAUGUUCCACGUGUGGGAUUUUGUAUGUACCAUAUGAAUAAGGAUCGGCUAACUCCGUGCCAGCAGCCGCGGUAAUACGGAGGAUCCGAGCGUUAUCCGGAUUUAUUGGGUUUAAAGGGAGCGUAGGUGGAUUGUUAAGUCAGUUGUGAAAGUUUGCGGCUCAACCGUAAAAUUGCAGUUGAAACUGGCAGUCUUGAGUACAGUAGAGGUGGGCGGAAUUCGUGGUGUAGCGGUGAAAUGCUUAGAUAUCACGAAGAACUCCGAGUGCGAAGGCAGUUCACUGGACUGCAACUGACACUGAGGCUCGAAAGUGUGGGUAUCAAACAGGAUUAGAUACCCGUGUAGUC
rnacentral:rRNA from 1 species